rnacentral:rRNA from 1 species
AUUGAACGCUGGCGGCAAGCCUUACACAUGCAAGUCGAACGAGUGGCGGACGGGUGAGUAAUGUCUGGGAACCUGCCCGAUGGAGGGGGAUAACUACUGGAAACGGUAGCUAAUACCGCAUACCAUUGGAGCUGCCCAUAUGGGAUUAGCUAGUAGGUGGGGUAAAGGCUCACCUAGGCGACGAUCCCUAGCUGGUCUGAGAGGAUGACAAGCCAAACUGGAACUGAGACACGGUCAAGACGCCUACGGGAGGCAGCAGUGGGGAAUAUUGCACAAUGGGCGCAAGCCUGAUGCAGCCAUGCCGCGUGUAUGAAGAAGGCCUGCGGGUUGUAAAGUACUUUCAGCGGGGAGGCGUUACCCGAAGAAGAAGCACCGGCUAACUCCGUGCCAGCAGCCGCGGUAAUUC